UACGGGGGGGGCAAGCGUUGUUCGGAAUUACUGGGCGUAAAGGGCUCGUAGGCGGCCAACUAAGUCAGACGUGAAAUCCCUCGGCUUAACCGGGGAACUGCAUCUGAUACUGGAUGGCUUGAGAUUGGGAGAGGGAUGCGGAAUUCCUGGUGUAGCGGUGAAAUGCGCAGAUAUCAGGAGGAACACCUAUUGCGAAGGCAGCUCGCUGGGACGUAACUGACGCUGAGACGCGAAAGCGUGGGGAGCAAACAGG
rnacentral:rRNA from 1 species